UGGACUUGCACAAAGCACUUGUAUCCACGCAGAUAAAAUGACCUAGGCGGCAGAGUAGAUGAACCUUAUACAAAUGUAACUGUACGGAUACAUGGUGCCGCAAAAUUAUUCACCCUAACGGAAGAAGCAGCAGUAUACAAACAAAGCAAGCAAUGGAACGCGGAAAGUUUAAAAUAAAGAUUUCCAACACUAAAAACAAUUUUUUUUAAUUUAGUACAAAAGUUAUUCACAAAUAAAAAUGGAUGAUUAAUUUUGCACCACUUUGUACUUGUAUAUGUAAGUAUAUUGGUCUAAAUACGUAUCCUUUCUUAUCCUCCCAGUUUUGUGCUCAUCACCGAAGAGAUGAAUAAAUUGUGAAGCAAACAUUUUCCCAUUUCGCCAUGGCAAAUUUCAUUUUAAUUAAAACUCGUCGGUGCAAGAAAUGAUGAUUGAUGACAUAACUUAAUUUACCUUGUAUUGGAAUUAACCCAUAUACACACACUGUGUCCAGAUUGCAAAAGAAAAAAAAUAUUUGACUAGUGUGCGCACAUUCGGCUUUUAUAGUGUGUUUAGUGAACCAGUU